GAUGAACGCUGGCGGCGUGCCUAAUACAUGCAAGUCGAGCGAACAGACGAGGAGCUUGCUCCUCUGACGUUAGCGGCGGACGGGUGAGUAACACGUGGAUAACCUACCUAUAAGACUGGGAUAACUUCGGGAAACCGGAGCUAAUACCGGAUAAUAUAUUGAACCGCAUGGUUCAAUAGUGAAAGACGGUUUUGCUGUCACUUAUAGAUGGAUCCGCGCCGCAUUAGCUAGUUGGUAAGGUAACGGCUUACCAAGGCAACGAUGCGUAGCCGACCUGAGAGGGUGAUCGGCCACACUGGAACUGAGACACGGUCCAGACUCCUACGGGAGGCAGCAGUAGGGAAUAUUCCGCAAUGGGCGAAAGCCUGACGGAGCAACGCCGCGUGAGUGAAGAAGGUCUUCGGAUCGUAAAACCCUGUUAUUAGGGAAGAACAAAUGUGUAAGUAACUAUGCACGUCUUGACGGUACCUAAUCAGAAAGCCACGGCUAACUACGUG
rnacentral:rRNA from 1 species